GGCAUAGAAGGGAUGAAGUGCUUGUUUGAAAACAGACACAUGCUGCAGAGACUGGCGGAGAACGAAACGGGUGACAGCGUGUGCAGUUGCCUGCCGCAAUGCGAGGGCUCCAAGUACGUGCUGGCCUCCACUCAAAGAUACAACUGGAACCUUGGUGCGCAACUUACCUGGGGAUUUCAGAAAUAUCCACACAUGCGUAUGAGGAGAGAUGUCAU